GAUGAACGCUGGCGGCGUGCCUAAUACAUGCAAGUCGAGCGAACAGAUGAGGAGCUUGCUCCUCUGACGUUAGCGGCGGACGGGUGAGUAACACGUGGAUAACCUACCUAUAAGACUGGGAUAACUACGGGAAACCGGAGCUAAUACCGGAUAAUAUAUUGAACCGCAUGGUUCAAUAGUGAAAGACGGUUUUGCUGUCACUUAUAGAUGGAUCCGCGCCGCAUUAGCUAGUUGGUAAGGUAACGGCUUACCAAGGCAACGAUGCGUAGCCGACCUGAGAGGGUGAUCGGCCUCACUGGAACUGAGACACGGUCCAGACUCCUACGGGAGGCAGCAGUAGGGAAUCUUCCGCAAUGGGCGAAAGCCUGACGGAGCAACGCCGCGUGAGUGAUGAAGGUCUUCGGAUCGUAAAACUCUGUUAUUAGGGAAGAACAAAUGUGUAAGUAACUAUGCACGUCUUGACGGUACCUAAUCAGAAAGCCACGGCUAACUACGUG
rnacentral:rRNA from 1 species